AAAAAGUAAAAGUGAAGGCACGUAACAGUCAUUGUUCAACUCUUGUUUCUUAAAACAGUAGGGAAGGGAACCCAGUUUGAUCUUUCGGCAUGGAAGUGUUUUCGCACUAAUCAUUAUUAGAAUGUCAUCAUUAUUCACUCUGUAAUGUCCUAAUCAACAAAUCCACUUAAUUCUGCACAAACCAUUCUUCCAUGGCCCACUUAGAUCUUUC
rnacentral:lncRNA from 1 species